GCAUGUGAGUGUGAAUGAGUGGGGCUGAGUGUGUAUGUGAGUCAGUGUGCACCUGUGUGUGAUUAUUCGUGUGGCAGUGAGAUGCAUGGAUUGCUGAUGAGUGUGACUGUUGUGACUGUGGCAGUGUGUGAGUUGCAUGAAUUGCCGAUGUGAGCGUGCACCUGUGUGUGUGUCCAUGUGUGCCUAGAUGAAUGUGCUUAUGGGUAUAUGCAUGCAUGUGAGUGUGAAUGAAUGGGGUUAUGAGCGUGUGAGAAUCAGUGUGCACCUGUGUGUGAUUGAGUAUGGCAGUGUGUGAGAGUUGCAUGAUUGUCGAUGUGAGUGUGCACCUAUCUGUGUGAGUGUCAGCGCACGUGGUCCUGCCAGGGUGUGCUCUGGUGGGCCUGGUGUGCAGUGUGGGGGCCCAGCCUGUGCGCCCCAAGAGCAGCCGGGUGGGCUCCACUCUCCCUUCAAGUGGAAGUGGCCCUGGCUCCAAGCCCUGGCCGGGGGUCCGCUCGCCCUGGGGACCCGCAGAUGACGCGAGAGGCGCCGCGCCACCGAAGGCCGGCCGGGGGCGGUGCGCGGGGCGGUGCCGGAGUCCGGGAUACCGGGUCCAGAGACGCCGCGCUCCGCCGCGGGGAGGCGGCCGGCCGGGUGAGAGGAGUCGGCAGCUCGCGGAGUCUGGACCGCAGGGUCUCACUCUGUCACCUGGGCUAGAGUGUGAUGGUGUGAUCAUAGCUCACUGCAGCUUCAACCUGAGCUCAACCUGAGGACAGACCCAUAGAAAUUACCCAAGAUCAACAGCAGGGAGAAGAAAGACUGAAAAACAGGGACAGAGAGUUUCAGGGAGUUGUGUGACUAUAACAAAAGUAUCAAUAUUUGUAUCAUCAGGCCCCAGAAAGAGAGAAGAAAGAGUGGGGCUGAAACAGUAUUUGAAGAAAGAAUGCCCUAAAACCUCCCAGAUUUGGCAAAAGACAUAAACCUACAGAUUCAGGAAGCAGAAAGACAACAGGAAAAUCUCCAGAUAUUCAGAAAUUAAGUAACAUGCCUUAAAGUGACCUCUGGGUCAAAGAGGAAGUCUCAAAGGGAAAUUAAAACACAUAGAACUGAAUGAAAGUGAAAUUACAACAGAGCAGCAUAUGUGAGACACAGUCAGAACAGUUUGGGGGGAGAUUUAUAGCAUCCAGUGCUUAGAUGAGAAGAGAUAAAAGAUCUCACAGUCUUAUUAAUAAUAUGUUACAAAAUCGAAUUAAUUCUCAAAAAUUCCUGAAAAAUCUCCCGGCCUGGUGGUUUUGCUGGAAAAUUGUACCAAAUACUUAAAGAAGAAUUCAUUCUACCAAACAUUCAAAGAAGAGAAGGGAACCCUUCCUCACUCACUGCAUGAGGUCAGGAUUGCCUGGUGACCACAUUAAACAAAGACAGUACAAAAAAAGAAAACUAGAAAACUGUAGACCGGGCCUGGUGGCUCCUGCCUGUAAUCCCAUCACUUUGGGAGGCCAAGGUGGGCAGAUCACCUGAGGCCCGGAGUUCAAGACCAGCCUGGCCACAUGGCAAAAACUUGUCUCCACUAAAAAUACAAAAGUUAUGCCGGCAUGAUGGUGCAUGCCUGUAGUGCCAGCUACUCAGGAGGCUGAGGCACAAGAAUCACUGGAACCUGGGAGGCAGAGGUUGCACUGAGCUGAGGUCAUGCCAUUGCAGAUCAGUCUGGGCAAUAGAGCGAGAGACUCUGCAUCAAAAAUAAAAAAAUAGGCCAUGCUCGGUGGCUCCUGCCU
rnacentral:lncRNA from 13 species